AUCCGUUCAUCGCCCAACAAAGGCUUUGGCGAGAUUCUCUUCAACCCUUUCUUCCUUUCCUCGACAUCGACUGAGAACAAAAUUCACAACAAAAUUAAUUCAGAUUAGGUCUUCGUCUUUGGCGACGGCUACUACGACGCCGGCAACAAGCAGUUUCUCUCCGGGAACCAUGUCGACGCCAAUUCUCCACCGAUGGCCACAUCAUUCCUGACUAUCUCGCUGAAUUGAUGGGUAUCCCAAGAAUCCCACCGAUUCUACGGAGCUCGGCAGAGGAUCUCUCUCACGGAGCUAGCUUCACUAUGGCCGACGCCACCGUCCUCGGCUCUCCUCUCAAAACGAGUCAAAAUGAAUGGUUGCUGAUAGCAGAUGUUACUCAAUCGUGUUGGCUACUCUCCUAAGAUCAGCCACAGAGAGCUGGUAGAAAUGGCAGAGCACCGGAAGGAAUUGGAGAAGAUGGCAAAACCCGUUCUUGAUACUCUAAGAAACUACCAGGACUUGCCUCCGUUUCAUGUUAAUGACCAAGCUGCAAUUGAGAUGGUUAAAGGUCGACGAAGCAAUAUUCAGAAGAAAUUGUAGUUUUUAAUUUUUGUUUUUGUUUUACGCCAAAUUAGUGUGUAAACUUUUUUUAUAUAAGAGUUUUUGUAUAUUAUUUUAUGUAAUAAUGAUAAUAAAUAUUGUAUUUUAUUUUUGAUAUGUUAUUUUAAUCCAAAAAUUCCAGUAAA